UACGUAGGCAGCAAGCGUUGUUCGGAAUUACUGGGCGUAAAGGGCGCGUAGGCGGCCUGCUAAGUCGGAUGUGAAAUCCCUCGGCUCAACCGAGGAACUGCAUCCGAUACUGGCGGGCUUGAAUCCGGGAGAGGGAUGUGGAAUUCCAGGUGUAGCGGUGAAAUGCGUAGAUAUCUGGAGGAACACCGGUGGCGAAGGCGGCAUCCUGGACCGGUAUUGACGCUGAGGCGCGAAAGCUAGGGGAGCAAACGGG
rnacentral:rRNA from 1 species